ACAAAUGUUUUUUGAUAUGGGUAUAAGCAACAAAGACACACAGGCUGCUCUAAUCUGACAGAUUCAUAUUGCACUGCCCUCAAGAGGGGUAAAGUACAGACUGUGCACGUUAAAGACUGGUCAGAGGACACUUGCUUGGCUCUCCAGGGGUGUCUGGAUUGCACAGAGUGGAAUAUGUUCAGGGAAUCCAGCUCUGAUAUUGAUGAACUGACAGAUGUUAUCUGCAAGGCAAGGCAAGGGCAAGGCAAUUUUAUUUAUAUAGCACAUUUCAGCACAAGGCAACUCAAAGUGCUUUAAAUAAAUCAUUAAACAUUGAAAAGCAAAGAGCAAAAUAGUGCAGUUGUAUAUCAUACUGUGAGAGUACUGUUAUUCCAGCUAAGGUUAUUAAAGUAUAUCCAAACAGUAAACCAUGGGUUACAAAGUCCCUGAAGAUUUUAUUGCAUGACAAGAAUAGGGCUUUUAAGGAAGGAAAUGUACAGAUACUACACAAGCUUCAAAAGGACAUUAAAAGGGAAAUUAGGGCAGGUAAACUUAAGUACAAAGAUACAAUAGAAACACAGCUCAGGAUGACCAACCUGGGCUCUGCCUGGGACAGUAUGAAGACAAUUGUGGGGCUCAAGGGAGGGGGGAGGAGUAGGCUUGAACUGAACAGCUACAAGUCUGACUCACUGCUGGCACAGGACCUUAACAGGUUUUAUGUCAGAUUUAACACUCAUGACUUCAGCAAUAAACAUUCUGAACUCAGAAACAGUCUUCUGGCAUCUCCCCCAUUUAUCCCUUCAUUUAAUGUGGAAUGUAGUGUCAUCAACUGUUUUAAACACUGUAGACCUAAGAAAAGUCCAGGCCCAGAUAAUAUUAGCAGCCACCUGCUGAAAGUGUGUGCAGAGCAACUAGGUCCAGUAUUCUAUGAUAUAUUCACCCUGUCACUCUCCCAGCAGAGAGUGCCAUCUCUAUGGAAACAGUCUGUGGUGGCCUGUUGCCCUGACCUCCUUGGUCAUGAAAUCCUUAGAAAAACUUAAAAAAAAGUAGAGCUUCUAGCUAAGGCAGAACUCCUUUUAGAUCCAUUUCAGUUUGCCUACAGGGCCAAGAGGGGGGGUACAAGAUGCCACUAUCACCUUACUCAACCUCUUAUAUAAGCAUCUAGAGGGGAGUGGGAAUCAUGCUAGGCUACUCUUUGUUGAUUUAUCAUCUGCUUUCAAUACCAUACAACCUCAUUUUAACCUUGAUCCGAGCUUAGUAGGCUGGAUACUGGAUUUCCUCACUCGGAGAUGUCAGAGGGUGAGGGUGAACAGUGAGCUUUCCAGUGAGUUAAUAUCAUCCACUGGAUCCCCACAGGGAUGUGUCCUGUCCCCUCUGUUGUACAUCCUAUAUACCAAUAGGCAUGACAAUAGGCACAUUAUCAAGUUUGCAGACGACUCCGUUAUUGUCAGCCUUCUUAGUGCACAUGAAAAUGACCAUGGUCCAGCGAUUGAUGAUUUUGUUGCCUGGUGUGAGAAUGCUUUCCUUCAUCUAAACAUUACAAAAACUAAGGAUAUGUCCAUUGAUCUCAGACGUCAUCCCAAUGUCCCCUGUAGUAGUAUUAUCAAGGGCCAAGACAUAGACAUGGUGCCAUAUUACAAAUAUCUGGGCACCUUGAUGACAACCGGCUUAAAUUUGAACUGAACACUGCUUCUGUGUGCAAGAGAGGCCAACAAAGACUCUUUACACUCAGGAAACUUGCUAAAUUCCAGGUGGACAAAACAUUAAUGACUUUGUUCUACAGAACUUUUAUUGAGUCUGGCCUGACAUUUUCUGUCAUCUGCUGGUAUGGCAACCUCACCAUCAAGGAUAAAAAUGCGCUUUUAAAAAUUGUGAAUGUGGCCAGCAAGAUAGUGGGUGUGAAGUUCAGUAGCCUUACUGACAUUUUUAACAAACAGAUUUAAAAAAAAAAAAAAAAAAAGCCAUGUCUAUUUGCAAGGACAACACUCACCCUCUGUACGGAGAAUACAUGUUAUUACCAUCUGGCUUACGUUUUAGCACCCCCUUGGCUCUUAAACAGAGAUAC